rnacentral:rRNA from 1 species
GGAAUCUUGCGCAAUGGGCGAAAGCCUGACGCAGCGACGCCGCGUGAGUGAUGAAGGCCCUCGGGUUGUAAAGCUCUGUGGAGAGGGAAGAAUAAGGGCGGGUUAAUACCCCGCCUGAUGACGGUACCUCUUUAGCAAGCACCGGCUAACUCUGUGCCAGACGCCGCGGUAAGACAGAGGGUGCAAACGUUGUUCGGAAUAACUGGGCGUAAAGCGCGUGUAGGCGGCCGGGCAAGUCGGAUGUGAAAGCCCACGGCUCAACCGUGGAAGUGCACCCGAAACUGCUCGGCUAGAGUCUCGGAGAGGAAGGUGGAAUGCUUGGUGUAGAGGUGAAAUUCGUAGAUAUCAAGCGGAACACCGGUGGCGAAGGCGGCCUUCUGGACGAUGACUGACGCUGAGACGCGAAAGCGUGGGGAGCAAAC